rnacentral:lncRNA from 1 species
UUUUUUUUACAAUUUGAUUAGAUUAAUUAGGACAAUAUUAGUUUAAUUAGAUUGAUAAUUGACAAUUAGGAUCUAAAUCUUGUUUUUUAGCAUAUUAGGAUCUUCAUUAGGAUUUUAGGAUUUUAAUUAGGUUUUUUGAGAUUUAAUUAGAAUUUUAAUUAGGAUUUUUGAUUAGAUUCUAAUUAGAAAUAAUUAGCCUUUGAUUGAAUUUAGAACAACACCAUUUUUCAAUAUUAGGUUAAGAUCUUU